GACGAACGCUGGCGGCGUGCCUAACACAUGCAAGUCGAGCGAGAUUAUCUUCGGAUAGUCUAGCGGCGGACGGGUGAGUAACACGUGGGUAACCUGCCUCAUAGAGGGGGAUAGCCUCCCGAAAGGGAGAUUAAUACCGCAUAAUUUGACACUGGCGCAUGCCAGAGUCAGUAAAGGAGUAAUCCGCUAUAAGAUGGACCCGCGGCGCAUUAGCUAGUUGGAGAGGUAACGGCUCACCAAGGCGACGAUGCGUAGCCGACCUGAGAGGGUGAUCGGCCACAUUGGAACUGAGAUACGGUCCAGACUCCUACGGGAGGCAGCAGUGGGGAAUAUUGCACAAUGGGCGAAAGCCUGAUGCAGCAACGCCGCGUGAGUGAAGAAGGCCUUCGGGUUGUAAAGCUCUGUCUUUGGGGACGAUAAUGACGGUACCCAAGGAGGAAGCCACGGCUAACUACGUGCCAGCAGCCGCGGUAAUACGUAGGUGGC
rnacentral:rRNA from 1 species